CUUUUUUUUUGGUUAGUAAAAGAAAGAAAAAUAAAAUAAAAUAAAGUUAAAAAUAGAAGAAGAGAAGAAGGAAGAGGACAGCAAAAAAAUAUAAAAAGGGGACUUAGGAAUUUAUAAAGAUACGAUCAGUUACUUUAACAGGAAAUACGAGCCAAAAGAUUCACUGAGCCAGACAAAAAGUGCAUAAAAACAAUCAACUUUUGCAAGCGCCCUUGCAGCACGUUUGUCCCCACAAUGCUGCUGCAGUUUCUACCGCCCUUUGAACACCCAGCGUCUGCCGGCGAACACAAGCUGAUGUGUCAGGAUCUACAGGAGCGGUCAAAGCAUGUGAUAAGAUCGUCUCCCUGCCUGCUUCACGCUGGGCUAACCCUGCGCCUGAAGAAAUAGCUGUGUCCCCACAGAGGUCCCCCGCCGGCUUCAGGCAUCCUUAGGGCGCAGGAUUCCAUCCAGGACACCAUACUACAUUUUGUCAUCAAGUCUCCUCCUUUGGCUGCUCUUGGCUUUGACAGUUUCGCAGACUUAGCUUGGUUUUGAUGACCUUGACAGUUAUAAGUACCACCGGUCAGGUAUUUUCUGGAAUGUUCCACAACUGAGAUUUGUCUGAUGUUUUACUCAUGAUAAGACAGGGUGAUGGGUUAUUUGGAGGAAGACUGCAGAGGUCAAGUGCCAUUUUAAUCACAUCCUAUCAAGCAGAUAUACUUUCAAGGUAAUUUAAUCCUGCUGAUGGUGGCCUUGAUCUCCUUAGGCAGUGUCUGACAGCUUUCUCUACUGGAGGGCUGCUCCUCGCGCCUUCCACACCAUAUACUUCGGAAGGAAAAGCUUGAGGGUGGAGCAUCUAUAUAAAUUCUUUUGAAUUCUUCUGCAUGCAAGAUUUGUCUCUUCUCCCCAUUUAGCAAUUUUUUCAAUCAUUUAUAUCCGUAUGGACUCAUUUAUUUUACACUCUGGGUUAUAAUUCAACACUAUUUUACUGAUUUUGUUGCUCAAAUUGUUCUCCCUUUGGCUGUCAGGAGUUCUUUCAGUUGCUUCCUGUGCUCCUUUGAUAUUUUCCUUUUUUUUUUUUUUUUUUUUUUUUUUGGUGUUGGUUUUUGAGCUUUUCAUUAUUAGCUGGCCCUACAAUAUGUUCCAGGCUCAUCAUGUUUACUGCCUCCCCAACUGCCUAAACUUUUUUUUUUUUUUUUUUUUUUUUGUCUUUACAAGAGAGUGAAAGAAAGCAAAUCUAUGGGCCCAAGAAAACUUCUAUUUGCCCUUAAUUUUCAUUAGGGCUGCCCUGUGUAUUAAUCAACAUUUUAAAAAUUGCUUUUAUAAAAUUAGUUCUAUCUUCUGCCAGCAAGGAAACACCAAAACACCAGCACCACUGAAAUUCUGCAUUUCCUUAAUUCCAAGAUGUAUGUUUGUGUUCACAGUGCUUUUUUCCUUGAUAUUUUAACACUUGUGCAACCAAAGCAUACAUUUACUAUCAUGUCCUUUCCCACACCUCCUGACCUGUCAUAAAUUUGAUGGUACGCUUUACAGGUGAUGGCAUCUUGGGAACAAAGGAAGUAGAGCAGUCAGUUAGUUCUUAUUUGGACCAUAGACAUCAUUUAACUAUUUUCACUGAUUUUUCCCCCACUGAACAGAAAUAAUUUGAUUAAAGUGGUUUCAUGAGUAGCACUUGCAGAUUUUUACCUACUCUCUGAAACAUUCUAACUUUACCUCAAACCCCAAAUUCUCAUCAAGUGUUAAGUUCUUUUCAGUUUAUUAUGGGUUUACUAAUUGAUUCCCUUUAUGUUUACCAUGUCAGUUUUUUUGUUUUGUUUUUUUUGUCUUUUUGCCAUUUCUUGGGCCAUUCCCUAGGCAUAUGGAGGUUCCCAGGCUAGGGGUCGAAUUGGAGCUAUAGCCGCCGGCCUAUGCCAGAGCCACAACAACACAGGAUCCGAGCCUCACCUGCAACCUACACCACAGCUCACGGCAAUGCUGGACCCUUAACCCACUGAGCGAGGCCAAGGAUCGAACCCGCCACCUCAUGGUUCCUAGUCGGAUUCGUUAACCACUGAGCCACGACGGGAACUCCAACCAUGCCAGUUUUUCAAGAUCUCAGAAUCCAUCAUCAUGCCUGAAGAGCCUAAGGCUGACACCCCAUGGUUGCAAGAAUGAUGUUUCACUCUUACUGAGGAGGAAUAAACGUGCUUAUGGAUCAGAAGCAGAUCAGGAAGGAUUCCUUGGCCCCAUCUUUCCUACCUGGGGAAGCCAUCUGAUGACAGAAUGGCAAACUGGCCAUUCCCUUCUCCGUGGCGGGGGCACUCAUGAAUGGCUGCUGCUUUGGGAGUGUCAUGCUUUAUAGAUUUUUUUCUUUUAAUGGACAGAGACAAGUUCACCCAAUCAGCAUGGGCAUAUUUCAUGAAAAGUCACAGGUGAAAUGCCCAAUCUUUUCAUCCAGGCAAGUAGAACUUGGAUACUCUAAACACUAUUUUCUGUCCCACAUAUGGAUAGAGCCCUAAUCAUUACACCAGCAUCCAGAGGUGACCACAAGAGAUGGCACACUGACUUUUCAGGCAGCCCUUACAUGUGCACUGAGCUGUCCCUUGGUAUCUGCAAGGGACUGGUUCUAGGACAGCCCCCUCAACCCCGCCAGAGACCCUGAAAUCUGCAGAUGCUCAGUCAGCCCUGCGUAUCUGAGGUUCUGCAUCAGUGAAUACAGAAGGCCCAGAGUACUUUGAUUUAAUUCUCACAGAAAUGCUGUGAGGUAGAUACUGUGAUCCCCACUUCACAGGUAAGUAGCCAGGUUGGAAAGACUAUAGUCUGUCCAGGACCCCUUGAUGAGUUUGAAGCCAAAGACUCAGAGCCUUUGCUGUAGAUGGUAUAGCAUCUAUAACUCACUUUAUGGACUACAGUCCUAUUCCUUAAUUAUAUUUUGCACAUACUUUUCACCUCAACCUAACCUAAGUGACAAUGAGGACAGGGACAGUGUCUUUUAUCCCAUCGACUCAGUUUUCCAGCCUCAUUCCAGCAACUUUCCUAUUAACUCUGCACUUGCCUUACUGCCAUUUUUUUUUCUUCUUAGGAAAAAUUCAUAAUUUUUCUAAUAACGGUAAAUAAUUUAACUUCAUAAUUUCCCUCCCCUAUUUUGAUGCUUUAUUUUGUUUUUUCAUUUAUUAGCUUCUUAAAUUACAAGCUUAUAAUUUCCAAAGCAUACAAAUAGCUCAUAAAGCUCAUUAACAGAAAAACAAACAACCAAAUCAAAAAAUGGGCAGAAGAUACCUAGACAUUUCUCCAAAGAAAGCACAUAGAUAGCCAGUAGGUACAUGAAAAGAUGCUCGUCAUUGCUAAUUAUUAGAAAAAUGUAAAUCAAAACUACAACGAGAUACAACCUCAGACUGGUCAUUAAAAAGUCUACAAAUGAGUGCUGGAGAGGGUGUGAAGAAAAGGGAACCUUCCUACACUGUUGGUGGGAAUGCAAAUUGGUACAGCCACUAUGGAAAACAGUACGGAGGUUCCUCAAAAAACCAAAAAUAGAGUUGCCAUAUGAUUCAGCAAUCCCACUCCUGGGCAUAUAUACAGAUAAAACUAUAAAUUGGAGCUCCCGCUGUGGCUCAGCAGGUUAAGAACCUGAUUUGUAUCCAUGAGGAUGUAGGUUUGAUCCCUGGCCACGCUCAGUGGGUUACGGAUCUGGCGUUGCUGAAAGCUGUGGCGUAGGUCAUAGAUGCGGCUCAUAUUUGGCAUUGCUUUGGCUGUGGCAGAGGCUGGCAGCUGAAGCUCCAAUUUGACCCCUAGCCUAGGAACUUCCAUGUGCCGCAGAUGUGGCCCUAAAAAGAAAAAAAAAGAACUAUAAUUUGAGAAGAUACAUAUAGCCCUACAUUCAUAACACUACUAUUUACAAUAGUCAAGACAUGGAAGCAACCUAAAUGUCCACCAACAAAUGAAUGGAUAAAGAAGAUGCGGUACGUAUAUAUAUAAAGGAAUACCACUCAGCCAUAAAAAAAAAAAAAAAAGAAUGAAAUAAUGCCAUUUGCAGCAAAACGGAUGGGCCUGGAAAUUAUCAUACUAUGAGAAGUCAGUCAGUCUGAAAAAAACAAAUAUCAUAUGAUAUGUGAUAUGUGGAAUCUAAAAUACAAUACAAAUGAGCAUAACUAGGAAAUAGAUCAGACUCAUCAAUAGACGUGUGGAUGCCAAGCAGGGAAGGAUUAAGAGUUUGAGAUUAGUAGAUGCAAACCAUUAUAUAUAGGAUGGUCCUACUGUAUAGCACAGGAAACUAUAUUCAAUAUCCUGUGAUAAACUUAAUGGAAAAGAAAUGAAAAAGGAAAUAUAUAUAAUUGAAUCACUUUGCUGUACAGCAAAAAUUAACACAUUGGAAAUCAACUGCACUUCAAUAAAAUUUAAAAAAUAAAAAUUAAAUUACAACUUAUUUUCUUUUCAGUCCUUUAAAUCUAACUAUAUUUUUGGUCCAAUCCCACACAGUUCAAUGCAAUAUAUUCUCACUGUCCAUUUAAAAACAGUUUAUGGGGAUUCCUAUUGUGGCUCAGCAGGUUAAGAACCCAACUAGUAUCCAUGAGGACAUGGGUUCGAUCCCUGGCCUUGCUCAGUGGGUUAAGGAUCCGGUCUUGCUGUGGCUGUGAUGUUAGGCUGGCAGCUGCAGCUCUGAUUCAACCCCUAGGCUGGGAACUUCCAUAUGCCACAAGUGUGACCCUAAAAAGACAAUCAUCAUCAUCAUCAUCAUCUAUGGUUACAGCAGCGAUUUCCUUUUUCAUCCAAGAAUUAUUUAAAAGGAUUGCAGUUUAGUUUCCAAGUACUUGAAUGGAGGUGGGGGAAGGAGCCCUCUCAUGUUAACUUUCAAUGCUAUGUUCUUAUAAUAGCCAGCGCAUCUGCUUUUGAGAUUAAAAGUUUCUUUGUAGUCAGUUUUUGUAAAUGACCCAUGGUCUUUUUUAAAAAAUAAAUGUAGAUUUACUUGUUGAGUUAGGUUAAUAAUGAUAACGAUGUUAUUCAAAAUCUUCUGUUCCUACUUAAUUUCGCCUUCUUGAUAAAAUUCUCAAAGCAUUUUGUUAAUCUCUCCCACUAUAAUUAUGGAAAAUUUUGUUUUUUAAAUUUUUUAAUUGAUUUCUUUUUCUUAUAUUCUUAACAGAUUUUCCUUUAAUUCAACACUAAAAGUUCAGUAAAUACAGUUUCAUCAUUAUUGAAUCUUCUUGUUUGGCUUAUGUAUAUAUUAUUUUAUGUCUCAUCCAUAAUUUCUCUUCACAUUUAAUGCUAUGCUUUUUAGAACUAGUCUAUCUCCAGCCUAUUCUUUUAUUUUCUUCCUUUCUGUGUAAUUUUGGUAUACAAAGACUCCUAAAGAUAGCUUUUGGUUAUAUUAUCUUUUUAUUUAAUCUGAGAGUCACUAGUUUUAAUAAAGGAAUUUAACCUAA